rnacentral:sRNA from 1 species
UAUAUACCAAUGGUGCAUUAUUCUAGUCGUACCAAAGUUUAUGAGGGUGGGGCUAAAAAUCCACUAAAGGGCACAUCUUUGAAGUUUCUUAAAUUUGCGCGAAAUGCCAGUUUUGUGUGAGUUUAGGGAGUAAAGAAAUUAGGGUAAUAUGUAAUGGCAUACAUAGGAUUCCCCCUAGUUUCGUGGAGACUUAAAUAUUAACAAAUUUAAGAAAAUAUUUUAAAUUGCAAAGAUAUUUUCAAAAUAAAUUUUACAUAUUUAAGUGUAACCUAUGUUGAGUGCCAAGACACAAAAUACAUAGUGUAGCCUGUCUCGAGUGAAUGUAUUGGGAUUAAUGGUGUAGAAUAAAAUAAAUUUUGGCCAAAUUUAUUUUAUUUAUGUUAUGAAAUUUUAUUUGCAAAAAAGACUAAUAAACUUGUAAGGUAUGUCAAGGAAAACUUCUAGAAUGUUUGCUGAAAGCAUAGAAGCCUAGGGAUUAAGGUACAGAUUUAAGUGGCGAUCUGGUGUCUAAUCAUAAUUAGAUAUUUUCCUUAAACGGAAACGGCUCAAGCAGUAAUGCUAAGCGGAAAAUAGAGAAAUUCGACCAGACCUAAACUGUAAAAUUUACUUAGGCUUUGACCAUUAGAUAAAU